UGCAGUCGACGGUACAGGAGCAGCUUGCUGCUUCGCUGACGAGUGGCGGACGGGUGAGUAUGUCUGGGAACUGCCUGAUGGAGGGGGAUAACUACUGGAACGGUAGCUAAUACCGCAUAACGUCGCAAGACCAAAGAGGGGGACCUUCGGGCCUCUUGCCAUCUGAUGUGCCCAGAUGGGAUUAGCUAGUAGGUGGGGUAACGGCUCACCUAGGCGACGAUCCCUAGCUGGUCUGAGAGGAUGACCAGCCACACUGGAACUGAGACACGGUCCAGACUCCUACGGGAGGCAGCAGUGGGGAAUAUUGCACAAUGGGCGCAAGCCUGAUGCAGCCAUGCCGCGUGUAUGAAGAAGGCCUUCGGGUUGUAAAGUACUUUAGCGGGGAGGAAGGGAGUAAAGUUAAUACCUUUGCUCAUUGACGUUACCC
rnacentral:rRNA from 1 species